CACGUAGGGCGCAAGCGUUGUCCGGAAUUAUUGGGCGUAAAGAGCUCGUAGGCGGUCUGUUGCGUCCGCUGUGAAAACUCGGGGCUUAACCCCGAGCCUGCAGUGGAUACGGGCAGACUAGAGGUAGGUAGGGGAGAAUGGAAUUCCCGGUGUAGCGGUGAAAUGCGCAGAUAUCGGGAGGAACACCGGUGGCGAAGGCGGUUCUCUGGGCCUUACCUGACGCUGAGGUGCGAAGCGUGGGGAGCAAACAGG
rnacentral:rRNA from 1 species